rnacentral:lncRNA from 1 species
GGAUAAAAAUCAUAAAAAUCCACCGGACCAAUCAGCAGCAGCCACGUGGCUGCCUUUAUCCAAAGUCUGUUUCUCUCUCCGCGUAAUCUGCAGACCACUCUCACUGUCCGCGCGUGUUUCACACGCGCCAGUCUUGGCCAAGGAAAAAUUGCCACGCGUCCCCCUCGUGUCAGAUUCAACAUGUUGAAAGAAUUCAUCUUCUCCCUCUGCCAGCAAGCUUUCAACAGGUACCCUCCAAUGGUUUCAA